UUUUAAAAAUUUAAUUGUUAAAUUAAAAAGUUUUUCAUGUAUAGAUCAAAUUUAUAAAAAAUUUAUAAAAAAUUUUAAAAAAUUAAAAAUCAUAUGAUACUUCGUUAAAUUAAUUCAAAAUAACAUAUAAAAUAUUUUUAUUUUAGGUUCCUGUCUCCUUAGAACUCAAGGAUAUAGAGGUACGAGCCUAUAGAACAGAUCCUGUUCAAGUAAGGUCGU
rnacentral:snoRNA from 1 species